CAUCCUUUCAGUACCACCCGCCAAUGAAUGAGGUGGUUGUCCCAGCAGUCAAAUCCAAUUAGGGCCUAUGUUUGUAAAACACAAAAUUUAUUCUGCUGGGGCCCCGACAAAGGCCCUAAAAUUCAAUUUAAUGGACUAGGGAAGCAAGAUAAGGAGUCCCUGAGGUGGAACUAUCAGCCUUUUUCAUCUGGUUGCUAUGAGCUGCAGCCUGAUAUCAUGGAAAUAGCCUGGGAUUUUCCGUCAGAUGGAUUUGACUUUGAAUUGAUUCGUUGCUGUGUGAUCUUAGGUGAGUUGCUUAACUUCUCUGAAGCUCAGUUUUCUUAGCUAUACAAAGGGGGUUAGUAAAAAUACCUGACUUUCUGGAUAUGGAUAGAAAAUACAGGAAGAGCCUGACACAGAGUACAUACUCAUAAAUGGUAGUCCUAUUUAGAUUAGAGAAUAAAAAAUAUUAACAAGGAGAUGAUGUCAAAGCUUCCAGUUCACUCCCAAUUUGAAUCAGCCAGAUUGGUGAUGACAGAGUCAGGGUCUAAUCUGAGUGGUUGACACUGAAUAGCACUGAAUCUUCUAAGGCUCAUCCACAUACCUGCUGCCCAUCCAGCUGAGCAUGAGAACGCCAUCUUGGAGACUUGGACUUGGGCAGCUCUCUUUACCCAGGAUGAGUUUGUUUCUUCCUUUUUUGGGGAGUACCGGGGAUGUAUUUUAUUUACAGAGAGAGUCUCACUGAGUUGCUUAGUGCCUCACUGUUGCUGAGGCUGGCUUGGAACUCACCAAUCCUCCUGCCUCAGCCUCCCAAGCCACUGGGAUUACAGGCAUGUGCCACCACGCCAGCCCAUGAUGAGUUUCUUGUCUGAUACCAAGUGAACCUGUUCUCUCAGCCCUGUACACGCCAUCCUGCCCUCCCUGCUGGUGAUUCCCCUACCCAGGGGAGGAAAGAGAGUCCACCCACUCUCCUGGAAAGGGCUCUGGAAGAGAAGAGAAUUCCCACACAGAGCACAGUGGGCUCUUGGCUAAAAGGUUGCUAAGUACUCCUGCUGUGCAGUCUGUCCUGAGCAGAAGAAGGCAGGCUAGAGAGCUUCCGAUCCAUUCCAGAGGUGGACUCAUUGAUGGCCAACAGGAAGGCAAAGUUGGGGAAUUAUUAAUUUCUUUCCUCCUUCCUGGGAAAUAUAAGGUAUCAGUAACAAAAAGAAGAGGAGAAACUAAUGCUAACUGAACCCACCAUGAAUAAUGUGGCUUUUGUGUAUAUCUGCCCUGUGCCUAUUUCUGACCCAUUCUCCUUAAUUUAGAGACAGAACGUGCUCAACAGAUCUUGCCCAUCAGUGUUGGCCUAAUGGUAGAUAAAGAAAAGCCACAAGGCUAGCUAGUCCAACUCAGAUAGUACAGCAGUUCCCCCUUAUCCCUGGAGAAUAUGUUCCAAGAUCCCUAAGUGGAUGCUGGAAUCCUGGAUAGUACUAAGCUGUAUUUAUAGAUAUUGAUAUUCUAUAAUAAAAGUUAUGUGAAUGUGCACGGUCUCUCAAAACAUCUUACUGUACUCAUCUUUUUUCUUGUUGACUGCAGGCAACUGAAACCACAAGCAAGAUGGGGUGCCACUGUGACUCCAAAUAAGCAACGACACCUUUCCAGAUCUCCGUUUCCUUACCUGUAAAUAGAGGAUGUCAGACUGGAAGAACCAAAUCCUUUCAGCUCUAAUAAUCUGUGGUCUCUCAAUAUGAUUUACAUACUGAAGUCCUGGCAUAUGGAAUGAAAUUUAAAAGCCAAGAUGUGGUAUGUUGAGCUUUUCCACCUGAGCAAACACUACGCCCACAAAGUAGAAAUUCUCAUUGGGAAGGUAAACAAUGAGACCACCCUAGGAGUGGAAGAGGUGAGGCUGCAGAAGCCAUGGGGAGAGAGGCCUCUUUUCUCAGCAGCAAAUAACAUCCCGG
rnacentral:lncRNA from 1 species